rnacentral:ncRNA from 2 species
CCGAGUUUACAACUCCCAAACCCAAUGUGAACGUUACCAAACUGUUGCCUCGGCGGGAUCUCUGCCCCGGGUGCGUCGCAGCCCCGGACCAAGGCGCCCGCCGGAGGACCAACCAAAACUCUUUUUGUAUACCCCCUCGCGGGUUUUUUAUAAUCUGAGCCUUCUCGGCGCCUCUCGUAGGCGUUUCGAAAAUGAAUCA